UGUCACAGAAAUGGCUUAUGUAUAAGAAGUUUAAUAGAUGGUUCCAGCAGUUAAAAUGUUCUUGCUUGUACAGUUUUGUGGACAAUAUUGUAAAGGUGUGUUUAUCUUGUAUAGGAGACAUGUUUAUCUUGUCACAAAGAACAAGUUUUAUUACACCGCUAUUAUCGCGAGGUUUGGGGCGUGACAAUAUAGACUGUGAGCCCACGUUGAUAAUCACGCUAAGGAGUUCAGCGAGCUAUCUGCAAAGGCCUGGUUAGUCUACCAGCUGUACAAGAAGGCACAAGACUGUAAAGAUAUUCUUCUAGAACCUCCGAAGUGGCAGGCGGCCACGAGUUUUCACGGCGUUCAAUAAAUGCAGCGAAGCGCCCGUCUUGAAGAAGCCGUGCCUGUGUUGUCAU